ACCCUCUGGGGAUCUUGUUAAGAUGCAGAUUCUGUUCCAGAGGUCUGAGAUUCUGCAUUUCUAUCAAGCUCCCUGAGGGUAUUGA
rnacentral:pre_miRNA from 1 species